GGGAGGGGCCACACUGCUGCAAUCUGCACGAGGGGCCCAGAGUGGUCUUCCGACUGCUGGCCCAGCUAGGCUGGUCUUUGAGACUUCUUUUCUGGUUUUCCCCUCUUCACAUCUGUGACCGCGAGAAUCCUGGCUUCCAGAAGCCUUCCAGUAAUAUCGCAACUCAAAGCUGUUGCAAAGACUAAAUGAAAAAAGUACUGUGUAAAAUGUCAGGGGUGAGAGUUCCAGCUGCUGCACACACCCCCAACACCUGUCACUUGUAUUUUAGCCAUAAUAAACAUGACAUGGUGUCUUA